CCGUACCGCAAACCGACACAGGUAGUCAAGAUGAGAAUUCUAAGGUGAGCGAGCGAACUCUCGUUAAGGAACUCGGCAAAAUGACCCCGUAACUUCGGGAGAAGGGGUGCUCUUUGAGGUUCACGCUUCGAAGAGCCGCAGUGAAUAGGCCCAAGCGACUGUUUAUCAAAAACACAGGUCUCUGCUAAACCGUAAGGUGACGUAUAGGGGCUGACGCCUGCCCGGUGCUGGAAGGUUAAGAGGAGUGGUUAGCGCAAGCGAAGCUACGAAUCGAAGCCCCAGUAAACGGCGGCCGUAACUAUAACGGUCCUAAGGUAGCGAAAUUCCUUGUCGGGUAAGUUCCGACCCGCACGAAAGGCGUAACGAUUUGGGCACUGUCUCAACGAGAGACUCGGUGAAAUCAUAGUACCGGUGAAGAUGCCGGUUACCCGCGACAGGACGGAAAGACCCCGUGGAGCUUUACUGUAGCCUGAUAUUGAAAUUCGGUACAGUUUGUACAGGAUAGGUAGGAGCCUUAGAAGCGUGAGCGCUAGCUUACGUGGAGGCAUUGGUGGGAUACUACCCUAAUUGUAUUGGAUUUCUAACCCGCAGCACUUAUCGUGCUGGGAGACAGUGUCAGGCGGGCAGUUUGACUGGGGCGGUCGCCUCCUAAAGAGUAACGGAGGCGCUCAAAGGUUCCCUCAGAAUGGUUGGAAAUCAUUCAUAGAGUGUAAAGGCAUAAGGGAGCUUGACUGCGAGACCUACAAGUCGAGCAGGGUCGAAAGACGGACUUAGUGAUCCGGUGGUUCCGCAUGGAAGGGCCAUCGCUCAACGGAUAAAAGCUACCCCGGGGAUAACAGGCUUAUCUCCCCCAAGAGUUCACAUCGACGGGGAGGUUUGGCACCUCGAUGUCGGCUCAUCGCAUCCUGGGGCUGUAGUCGGUCCCAAGGGUUGGGCUGUUCGCCCAUUAAAGCGGUACGCGAGCUGGGUUCAGAACGUCGUGAGACAGUUCGGUCCCUAUCCGUCGUGGGCGUAGGAAAUUUGAGAGGAGCUGUCCUUAGUACGAGAGGACCGGGAUGGACAUACCUCUGGUGUACCAGUUGUCGUGCCAACGGCAUAGCUGGGUAGCUAUGUAUGGACGGGAUAAGUGCUGAAAGCAUCUAAGCAUGAAGCCCCCCUCGAGAUGAGAUUUCCCAACUUCGGUUAUAAGAUCCCUCAAAGAUGAUGAGGUGAAUAGGUUCGAGGUGGAAGCGUAGCGAUACGUGGAGCUGACGAAUACUA
rnacentral:rRNA from 1 species